rnacentral:RNase_P_RNA from 1 species
GCGAUGAACCGCCGCCGCGCUGCUGCGGCGAUGCCGCGGCAGCGAGGAAAGUCCGGGCUCCGCAGGGCAUGAUGCCGGCUAACGGCCGGGGACGCCGAUACCGGCAUCAGCUUGUUUGGUAUUGGUGUCACAGACAGCGCAACAGAAAAUAUACCGCCGUGUUUCCGCUCAGGCGGACGCGCGGUAAGGGUGAAAUGGCGGGGCAAGAGCCCGCCGCGGAACUGGCGACGGUUCCGGCACGGCAAACCUCAUCAGGAGCAAAGCUAAACAGCGCUUGGGUUGCCCGCCCCACAAGCGCGGGUAGGCUGCAUGAAACCGCCGGUAACGGCGGUUCAAGACAGAUGGCGGUACCCUUUCGUUUACGGACACAACUCCCGACGGAAGGGAACAGAAUCCGGCUUACGGUUCAUCGCUUUU